rnacentral:misc_RNA from 1 species
UAUACGUUUCAUGGUGUUUCCAAUGCUAAAUGUCAAGGGAGAAAUCUCAUCCAAGGACAUGUAAGACACCUGAUUAUAGAGAUGGUAGAAUAUACUUUGUGCUGCAACCCACCAAACGAAAUGAGGUCCAAUUUGAGAAACUGCUGUUUGCCAUCCAGCAGCCCACAAUUCUGGUCCCUCCACAGCAAAUGCAAAUGGCGUCAAGAGUAACAAAGACAAAAUUGAUAAACAUGCAUAGUAGUUCAUCCCGCUAACAGAUUUUCCUUUCAUGCCUCUCUUCGAAAAUAUGUUACGGAAUACAAAUGCCAAGUUUGAUAUCAUGGCACCCAUGAAACCCGUCAUGUUAAAGUUGAGCUCGGUCACAGCAGCGAGAGCACACCCACCGAUGAUCGGGAGG